UACGUAGGGACCGAGCGUUGUCCGGAUUCAUUGGGCGUAAAGAGCUCGUAGGCGGCUGUUCAAGUCGAACGUGAAAACUCGGAGCUCAACUCCGAGCCUGCGUUCGAUACUGGACGGCUAGAGUCUGGUAGGGGGAUCUGGAAUUCCUGGUGUAGCGGUGGAAUGCGCAGAUAUCAGGAGGAACACCGGUGGCGAAGGCGGGUCUCUGGGCCGAUACUGACGCUGAGGAGCGAAAGCGUGGGGAGCGAACA
rnacentral:rRNA from 1 species